GUGCCCUUGAGGCGUGGCUUCCGGAGCUAACGCGUUAAGUCGACCGCCUGGGGAGUACGGCCGCAAGGUUAAAACUCAAAUGAAUUGACGGGGGCCCGCACAAGCGGUGGAGCAUGUGGUUUAAUUCGAUGCAACGCGAAGAACCUUACCUACUCUUGACAUCCAGAGAACUUUCCAGAGAUGGAUUGGUGCCUUCGGGAACUCUGAGACAGGUGCUGCAUGGCUGUCGUCAGCUCGUGUUGUGAAAUGUUGGGUUAAGUCCCGCAACGAGCGCAACCCUUAUCCUUUGUUGCCAGCGGUCCGGCCGGGAACUCAAAGGAGACUGCCAGUGAUAAACUGGAGGAAGGUGGGGAUGACGUCAAGUCAUCAUGGCCCUUACGAGUAGGGCUACACACGUGCUACAAUGGCGCAUACAAAGAGAAGCGACCUCGCGAGAGCAAGCGGACCUCAUAAAGUGCGUCGUAGUCCGGAUUGGAGUCUGCAACUCGACUCCAUGAAGUCGGAAUCGCUAGUAAUCGUAGAUCAGAAUGCUACGGUGAAUACGUUCCCGGGCCUUGUACACACCGCCCGUCACACCAUGGGAGUGGGUUGCAAAAGAAGUAGGUAGCUUAACCUUCGGGAGGGCGCUUACCACUUUGUGAUUCAUGACUGGGGUGA
rnacentral:rRNA from 1 species